UACGGAGGGUGCGAGCGUUGUCCGGAAUCACUGGGCGUAAAGGGCGCGUAGGCGGCCUGAUAAGUAGGGGGUGAAAUCCUGCGGCUUAACCGCAGGGCUGCCUUCUAAACUGUCAGGCUGGAGCACAGUAGAGGCAGGUGGAAUCCCGGUGUAGCGGUGGAAUGCGUAGAGAUCGGGAAGAACAUCAGUGGCGAAGGCGGCCUGCUGGGCUGUUGCUGACGCUGAGGCGCGACGCGUGGG
rnacentral:rRNA from 1 species